CCUACGGGUGGCAGCAGUGAGGAAUAUUGGUCAAUGGCCGGGAGGCUGAACCAGCCAAGUCGCGUGAAGGACGAAGGUGCCAAGCAUUGUAAACUUCUUUUGUCAAGGGACAAAAUCAGGCUCGAGAGCCUGACCGAGGGUACUUGAAGAUAAAGCAUCGGCUAACUCCGUGCCAGCAGCCGCGGUAAUCCGGAGGAUGCGAGCGUUCUCCGGUUUUAUUGGGUUUAAGGGGUGCGUAGGGGGACUGUUAAGUCAGCGGUAAAAGCCCGGGGCUCAACCCCGGCGAGCCGUUGAAACUGGCUGUCUUGAGAGGUGGAGAGGUAGGCGGAAUGUGCAGUGUAGCGGUGAAAUGCUUAGAUAUUGCGCAGAACACCGAUUGCGAAGGCAGCAUACCGGCGGGGAUCUGACGCUGAGGCACGAAAGCGUGGGUAUCGAACAGGAUUAGAUACCCCUGUAGUC
rnacentral:rRNA from 1 species